UCCUGGACUGCAUUUUUCAGAGCUGCUGUCACAUAGUUUAGAAAACCGGAAACAAUACUUGCCUCUGCUUUUAUGGCCGAGGCUUCUAGAGUAAAAAGCCAAGGCAGCCUUUAAAUGUUUCAUUUUUAUAAGGGGCCAUAAAGAAAAGCAAAAAAAAAAAAAUCAUAAAUCCAGAUCUCAAACACCUUAGACCACCCUCGGUCAGCUGGACAUAGCUUCAGAAAAUAGACGGAAGUUUCUCGAAGUUUCUUUCUUUGGAUGCAGGAAGUGUGUUUGCUCGGUCGGUGGUGACUCACCGUGCCUCCUGCACCAGGCAUGGAGACAGAACCUUGCUUAUUUAUUGUGCGCCUCUUUUCAGUUUACAAGGUCAGACUGGAUGUUAGGGCUGUUUCCCCAGCAUCGCUCUACUGACCGACUUCACUCUAAUCCCCUGAAGUCACUUAAAUCAAGGAGAGGCGGUGGGGGCGGGGACCCAUCAGAGAGCACCAGUGACUGCCUCCCGCCCGCCCGCCCGCCCGUUGUUCUCGGAGGCAAAUUAAUUUGACGCUGUUAUGCCUGUUAUGUAAGUGUGAUCGUCCCCUCUAAUCACAUCACAGGACUGAGAGCUGCCAGAAAUAACAGGAGGGAACAUUCGAGAUAUCAAAGGGGAGACACUAAAAUAGAUUGUUUAUUUAGGUACCGAAUGGAAACGCUAUUAUUGGGAGAUGCAAAACAACCCUCCUCUCACACAUCCUUGCUUCACAUACUGUGCCUCCAAGAGAUAUGAAAUCAGUGCUUCCGAUGGAGUAGGAAGUGAGGGGAACUGGGGGUGUCAACGUAGCGGUGGCUUUGUGGGUGUCUGCCAUUGCCUUCUGCACCUGCCUCUUCUGUGAAGCUUCUCUCAUGGUCCAAAGUUCUUUCUUUGUAUCCACCUCAGCCCCGGUCUGACUCUCCUUACACUAUUCCAUUGCCACCCUGCUUCCCCUUGUUCUUCCCCAAGUCCAGCCGAGAUGCUACUCAUCAGGAGAAGUUCAAAAUAUAUGGCAUCCCCAUCUUUUAGUACAUGCUAGGUAUCUGUUUCUCUUCCCCAAAUUCUUUUCCUGUUCCCUCUUGGGCAGGAGUUCAAGUAAGGAGAUAUACCUUGGAGUGAUGGCUCAUUGUGGUCUACAAUGUGCUGUGUGUUGGGGUUGGGGGGAAGGAGACGGCAGGGAUGUAGGGGGUGCACUAUGUGUGUGUGUGUGUAUGUGUGUGUGUGUGUGUGUGUGUGUCUUCAGGGUGUGUUUAUGUGUGGGUAGUGCAUGCAUGCAGAGGUCAGCAUAGGAUAUCUUAAUUGUUUCUCUAAGAAAUAGUCUUUCUUUGAACCUGGAGCUCACUGAUUCUGCUGUGUUAUCUAGCCAGUGAACCCCAGGGGUCCUCAUAUUUCUGUCACUCCCAGCAGUGAAGGUUGUACCCCAUUGCCAUGGUGCCUGGCUUUUGUGUGGGUUCUGGACAUCUAAACUCAGGCCUUCAUGCUUGCAGAACAAGCUCUUUACCCACUGGACCAAUUCCUCCAUCCCUGAAAACCACCAUGGAAGUAAGCUGAACCAUUUGGACCACAGGCAGGCUUCAGGGAGGCAUGUUGUUGCCAUGGCAAGACGGGCUCUCUUCCAAGGAUCUAUGAUGCUCCUUUGUUUCUUCUCUGUGCUGACCACUGCCUGCCUUGAAAUGCUUUUGGGCUGUAUCUCCACAGAAGAAUGAGGUGAUUCUCUUGAGUGGAAACAAGGGCCACGCCCAUGGAGAACUGAUAGGUGGCAUGAGUCUUUGCUUGUCACCCUUGGCUGGCUUUGUUCAUGGGGUUGGAUGGCUUUGCUCAUAGGACUUGACCAUAAAGGUAUUAUCCAUGCAACCCAGAUUGUCAGAGUACACACACACACACACACACACACACACACACACACACACACCUUUUUUUUAAAACAAUGACUGGUUCUCAGUGCUUCUUUCCUUUACCAUUCCUGAUUUUUUUCAAAUAAAAUGAGAACAUUGAUUAUUUUCUGAAUGCCAAUUCAGGUUAUCCGAGGGAGUCUCUAGCACUCUUUUACCUCUGACCUCCUUCUGGUAUAGAGAUCGUCCCCCCAAGUGGCUGCUCCCCCUCAAUGGGAUGUGAACCUAGCUCUGGCUACCAGAUCCCAAUGGGGCUGAGUAAUUCUGUGCAAUCAGGUCAAAAAACCUAUGUUUGUAAGGAUGUAUUGAAAAUACUUAGAAUUUUCCUAAAGAAAAUUAUUUGGAUAAGUAUUUUCUAUGCACUGCUUCUCAACAUGAUCUUUUCAACCUGGGAGUUUUAGCUAGCUUGUUGAUACCCAGUGCAAUGGAACUACUGGUUAAAAGACCAGUAUCAGUGUGUGUGUGUAUGCAUGAGCCCUAUCUUUCUCUGGGGCAGGCAUUGCUUAGGAUGCUGGGCUGUGGAGUCGAACUGUGUCAGUCUUUAGCUGUGUGACAAGCUACUUAACCUUCUCUCAACUUUAAGUUUGUCAUCUAUAAGUGGGUUUGACAAUGGUAUCUACCUGUAAAUCUAUUGAAGAGACACUUUGAAUUAAGGAACAUAAAAUAUUUAGCAAAUAGAAAGAGCUUGAUUAUUGUUAUAUUGUGUGUGUGUGUGUGUGUGUGUGUGUGUGUGUGUGUGAGUGUGUGUGUGUGACUGUUAUUAUUCAAAUCUUCAGAUACCUAGAAUCACAGAGCAGAGUUUCUCUAUUAGAUUGCCCCAGCACAGGAGAGUGUCUAAAUGUACAAAUAGAUACACUGGCACGAUUAUCUGGUAGAUUCCAGUCUAUACCUGCUAUAUCCUGCAAACUUCAUCCAUUAGGGCAAAGGUUACAUAAAUUGGUUACCGACUCUAAUUUCCUUUCUUAACUAGUACAAAAAUAGCCUUUACAUUAGCCUCCGAAAAUAGCUAAGAGUUCAAUAUUUGAAUGUAUGUCUUAACUCCUUACCAUCACAGAAUAUUA
rnacentral:lncRNA from 1 species